AACCAGGAAAGUUAAGUCAUAUUUAUAACGGUAAAAGAUAGUUAAAUAAAAAUAUAAAAGUUUAUUUAUUAUUUAUAGAGAGGUAAAAUUUUUAUAUAAAUAUAUAAUUUAAUUUUAACUUAAGUAUUGAAGCUAUGAUAGUCUUGAGGGAAACUGGGAUCAGAUACCCCAUUAUUCUUGGUCAUAAAUAAAUAAUAAUUUACCAGAGUACUACGAAGAAAAAAGUUUAAAACUCAAAGAGCUUGGCGGUGUUUUAGACCCUUCAGGGGAACCUGUCUCGUAAUCGAUAAUCCGCGCUAGACCUAACCUUUUUUUGCUUUCAGUUUGUAUACCGUCGUCGGAAGGUAACUUUUAAGAAAUGAUUAGUUAGCAACAGAAUUAUGUGAGUUUAUACGUCAGAUCAAGGUGCAACUUAUAAAAAGGGGAAGAUGGGUUACAAUUAUUUAAUUAUAAUAACGGAUUAAUACUUGAAUAAGUGUUAUUAAGGAGGACUUGAAAGUAAAUUGAAUUAUGUAAAUGUUUUGAACAAGGCUCUGAAAUGU
rnacentral:rRNA from 1 species